AGUUUGGAGAGAUCUUUUUCAGCUCCUCACAAUCUGCAGGGUUCCCGCUGGGAUGGCACCAAUCCCCUUGAAAAUAUGUGAUCAGACCGAUAUAGCGUGGGGUCAUUUCAACAUUCUCCCAGCUACAUGGGAGCUACUCACGGUUGAGUGGCUCCCAUGAGUCUGAGAGAACAUCUAAUGGGCACAUUGACUGUUUUCCAUUCAAUCCACUUGAAAAAGCAAAAUACUGAACUGGCUUGGAAGGGUAAUUCCAGUAUGUGAUAAGAUCUUUGAGACGGAUAGCAAAUAAGUGGGGAUUUACAUGACAAUGACAACGAUAAAAUUGACAGCAUUCAGAAAGGGAAGUGUCACCAUACAGAAAACUGUGAAAGUACCAUUAAUUAUCCCUUGAGAUGCCUGCUAUUCAUGUUUUCUCUCCCUUUGCUUUUCACAAGGUAAUAAAGUUUGGCUCAUCUAGAAUAUUUCUGUUUGAUUUCUAGUCUGCAGUACUGUUUAAGUUUGGCAGUCCCAAUUAGCAUGAACAAGUUUAUUAAACUCAAUGGCAGGCAGGGCUCAGAAUCCACAGGUAUACUGUUUCUGGGUACGCAGAUUUCUGGGUCCGCAGGUAUACUGUUAGUCCAUCCAGGGAAUUAGAGGUAUAGGGCUUUUUUAAAAGGUGCAACUAGACACAAAACGGCAGUUUGCUCUCCCAUCCCCACAAAGAGCAGUUCCAAAGGAACAUUUGUGCAGAUUCACAUCUUGCAAGUUCCAUUAUAAAGAUGUCAAAAGUAACUGAUAAAAAUGAGAAAAGUAAAAGUAUAAUCCAGCCAUUUCUAGAAUCCAGACCCAGACCAAGUGUACUCAUUUUUGCCAUGAAUAUAUAGUGAAUAAUAAAGUGCAAUAGUUCCCAGUGAAAUUCCUAGUUCUGAGGAUUUUCUCCCACUCGAAGUAGGCUUCUAAAUGUCAUAUAAUGUGACUCUAGGCAACAAAGUAUGUGUGCAUAGACAAGGGAAAUGCACAGGUUUGUGUUGUAAUGGUGCACUCUAUGUGCACAAAUUAUACUCAAAUGCCAUUGUGAAGUUUUGAAUUUUCCUUUUAAAAAGCUAGCAGAGGUAAGUAACAAGAUCCAGAGCAUGACAUGGAGAAAUAAUCUGAGAAAGUUCUCUGUGGAUUUCAGAUUCUCCUUGGAAGAACCCAGAAAUUCUCUUUCAAAUUUCACUUUGGAGAAAUUUCAGUUCCAACCCCAGAUGAUGACAGCCAUCAAAGGGGCCAGAAGAAGAAAAAUGUCUACAGCCUUUGAGAAACCAGAUGGGACAGAACAAAAAACUGCUACUGCAAAAAUGACUUAAACUAAUAAUGGAGGAAUAAUUCCAGCUGUUGCUCGGAGUACACUGUUUGCAACAACCAUCAUGCCCCCUUGAGUCUACAGUGUCAAGUACCAAAAGAUUGAUUCUGAAUCUAUUAAUUUCCAAUGUCAGCAUUCCUCAAAACUGUGGUGGAUAUGAUUCAGGAGAGGAAGACACUAUUGAACAAUUGAAGUGCUAUUAUUAAAAAUGUUUAAGAGAAUAUCCUCACUUUUGUGGGGAUGUAAAAGGCUGGUUCUGCAGUAAUGCAAACCCAUAUUUUUUAUUAUUAUUUAUUUAUUUAUUUGCACAGUCAGACAGGUGUUAUUGACUGGUUUGUUUUAUCCAGACAUCAAGUCCUUCCCAAGGACCUGGGAUGGCUGAAUUUUAUUGUCAAUGUUGUUGCUGUUGUUAUAGAUAUCUUCGCAGAAUAUAGGCCGUUCCCAGUAAAGUUGCUUUUUGUAAUUGGCUGAUGGUGAUUUCUGUGGCCCCUAUGGUGUUGAGGUUCUCUUCAAGGUCUUUUGGAACUGCACCCAGGGCGCCAAUUACCACUGGGAUUAUUUUGGUCUUUUUCUGCCACAGCCUUUCAAUUUCAAUUUGUAGAUCUUUGUAUUUGGUGAUUUUUUCUAUUUCUUUUUCUUCUAUUCUGCUAUCCCUUGAUAUUGCUAUGUUGAUUAUUUUAACUUGUUUUUCUUUCUUCUCGACUACAGUUAUAUCUGGCGUAUAUUAUUAUUAUUAUUAUUAUUAUUAUUAUUAUUAUUAUUAUUAAUUAUGUAACAGAUUUAUAUGCAGCUCUCCUCUUGGAUCUCCAGUCUGAAUGAACUGACCACAUUUUAUGUCAAACAAAAUUACUUUACGCUACAUCUUCAAUGGCGUGUGGAGCUUGGGAAAAGCAGUAGUGGAAUCUGAUGGGAUAUUAGGAUACCUGUGUGACAAGGUUCUGCAGGCCAUGACAUGCUGAAUGUAGUAUUUUUUGUUUGUAUGUAUGUCUAAUCAAUGGUCGCAAUAAAGCUAUUCAUUCAUUCA